UACGUAGGGUGCAAGCGUUGUCCGGAAUUAUUGGGCGUAAAGGGCUCGUAGGCGAUCUGUCACGUCGGGAGUGAAAACUCAGGGCUUAACCCUGAGCCUGCUUCCGAUACGGGCAGACUAGAGGUAUGCAGGGGAGAACGGAAUUCCUGGUGUAGCGGUGAAAUGCGCAGAUAUCAGGAGGAACACCGGUGGCGAAGGCGGUUCUCUGGGCAUUACCUGACGCUGAGGAGCGAAAGUGUGGGGAGCGAACAGG
rnacentral:rRNA from 1 species